rnacentral:rRNA from 1 species
CCUAUGGGAGGCAGCAGUGGGGAAUAUUGGACAAUGGGCGCAAGCCUGAUCCAGCCAUGCCGCGUGAGUGAUGAAGGCCUUAGGGUUGUAAAGCUCUUUUGUCCGGGACGAUAAUGACGGUACCGGAAGAAUAAGCCCCGGCUAACUUCGUGCCAGCAGCCGCGGUAAUACGUAGGGGGCAAGCGUUAUCCGGAAUCACUGGGUGUAAAGGGUGCGUAGGCGGUAGGGCAAGUCAGAUGUGAAAGCCCGGGGCUCAACCCCGGGAUUGCAUUUGAAACUGUCUUACUAGAGUGCAGGAGAGGAGAGUGGAAUUCCCAGUGUAGCGGUGAAAUGCGUAGAUAUUGGGAGGAACACCAGUUGCGAAGGCGGCUCUCUGGACUGUAACUGACGCUGAGGCACGAAAGCGUGGGGAGCGAACAGGAUUAGAUACCCUAGUAGUC